rnacentral:lncRNA from 1 species
CCCUCGCUUUGUUAGUACGAAGUGACGAAAAGUGGAAGAUUAAUUAUUGGGUCGUUUAUCACGCAUGGCAUUUAAUCAUUUGGAAACAAUAAUUUCGGAGUGGAGUUGUAAAAUAAUGUAGAUGAGUAUUUAAACAUAUUGAAACUUGAUUGCAAAGCACGUAUCAUUAAUUCAAAACAUACAUGAUACUUGAAUAUACAGAACUGAUUUGAGACAAUUUGGAAAAGAAACAGGAUUUGUUUUACUCUGAAUUUUGAGAGAGUAAACUUCUCAAUGCAUUAUUUAGUGAAAAACGAAAAUGCGAAGUAUGACUUCUCGAAAUUUAGAAUGAUAUAAAGCUUGAUUAUACAAACAAUUAACAAUAUGUAUUCGGCCAAGUCAUUCAAGAGAAAUCAGAUUCUACUUUCUACUUUAUGGCUCACAUAUUUUCAACUUUAUCAUUGCAGCUGCGAAACGAUCAUGUUUUUUGAUGAGCGCUAAUUCCAUUAUGCAUCCUCGAUGAUUGUCUCUGACAAUGAAUGGAAGCGGCGGUGCAACUACGUCGUAUACAAAAACGCCGUGAGCCGGCGUGGACGUGAAGGAACAGACUGCCAAAGAACUCCGUCGUUGAUAACAAUCAGCGAUGAAGUGUACAACGUCACACGAGAAAAACACGGUCUCGAUCAUCUGAGAGAUCUGGAGACCCGGAACACAACAACGCGCAAUAUGUCGACGUCUGCACGGCCGAACAACCGUGGCCACCGAAGGGUUACAGUCAAUCGCUCGCACGGAGAAUUGUCACGAUGCGUAAUCACGCGUCGUGCAACAACGAUAACGCGCUUCUGCGGUUUAACACUGCGACCGCCGAUACACAGAUACGAGACACGGCACGACUUCGAUCAACUCGACCGUGCGUCGCGACGCCGGUCGCGUCGCACUUGCCCGCGCGUCAUUGCGACGCCAUCUCGCAGCUGCUCCCGCGCGAUUAAAAGAAACGAGUCCCAUAGGCCAAAUGAGCGCAUACAUGAGUCAACAAGUAAAGUAUGCUUGGCAGUUUAUAUUGGACGUUUGUGCCGAGACUCAGAAGGCAAGAUAUCAGGAACUCGCUAAUUAUCGAUUCAAAAAUUUUACGCAGAUAAUAAUGACAACACCAAUUAAUGCGUACAACACGCGGAUACAUAAUGUAAUAAAGCGAGUCAGUUUCAGGCUACGACGGAUAUCGGGUGUGACUAGGCCUUUGAAGCCGCCCUUAUGCAGCAGAGAAUCUAUCGUUUGUAUCUGGUCCCAUCCUGGAUCAAAGAUUAUCCUUCAACGUACAGACGAAACCUCGAGGGCUACUUCUCCUACUCUACGCUAUAAAAAAAUACGCACCUUGCUCCAUAGCCACGCUGGGCAAAAAUUUUUCGGACGCGGAUAAAGCGCGCGCGCACGAGGGAGAUGACAUACGGCGCGUCAUCGGAGAUGAACGAAGAUAACAGCUGACGCGCGAGCGAGACGGAUGGACAUGCAGCUAUGCUGUGAGAGAGGGAGGAAAAGAUAGAAAAAUAGACGACGCGCGAAGUUACUCACAAUGGUU